CGGAAGCCAUGGCAGGCCCUGAGUCAGCCAAGUGGAAAGAGGCAAUGGACAGCGAAAUACAGUCCAUGUAUGACAAUCAAGUUUGGAACUUGGUUGAGAAUGUACCAGGUCGUAAGACAGUAGGGUGCAAAUGGAUCUUCAAGAAGAAGACCGACAUGGAUGGUAAAGUACACACUUAUAAGGAACGACUAAUUGCAAAGGGUUUCUCACAAACUCCGGUAGUUAAUAUGAUGAGACCUUUUCUCCAGUGGCUAAGAUGUCUAUUAGGNUUAGCCAUAGCUGCAUUUCAUGACUAUGAAAUAUGGAAGAUGGAUGUCAAAACCGCUUUCCUUAAUGGAAAGUUGGCUGAAGAUGUUUACAUGAGUCAGCCAGAGGGUUUUGUCAGCAACGAGUACCCUAAUAGAGUGUGUAAGCUUGAGAAAUCCAUUUAUGGAUUGAAGCAAGCACCUCGCAGAUGGAAUCUUUGCUUUGAUGAAAAGGUCAAGGAAUUUGGCUUUUCUAGGAGUGAAGAUGAGUCUUGCGUGUAUGUCAAGGCUAGUGGGAGUAUAGUUAGCUUUUUGGUAUUGUAUGUGGAUGACAUACUACUCAUAGGAAAUGACAUCCCAACUCUGCAGGAAGUUAAGUCCUGGCUUGGGAAGUGUUUCUCUAUGAAGGACCUAGGAGAAGCUACCUAUAUUCUAGGGAUAAGGAUCUUGAAAGAUCGGAGUAAAAGACUAAUUGGACUUAGUCAGAGUACCUACUUGGAUAAGGUGUUGAAGAGAUUCAGCAUGCAGGACUCCAAGAAAGGAGAGUUACCCAUCCAGAGUAAUGCCAGAUUGAAUAAGACACAAAGCCCUAGAACUGAGGCUGAGAUAGCAUAAAUGAGUCGAAUACCUUAUGCUUCGGCUGUAGGAUCGAUCAUGUAUGCUAUGACGUGUACUCGACCUGAUGUAGCCUUUGCCCUGAGCAUGGUUAGCAGGUAUCAUGGGAACCCUUCCAAGGCACACUGGACUGCGGUAAAGAAUAUUCUCAAGUACCUACGGAGGACUAAGGUAUAGGUCCUUACCCUUAGUGGGAGUGAUGACUUGAGGGUUGUAGGGUAUAGUGAUGCUAGCUUUCAGACGGAUAGGGAUAAUUUCUGCUCUCAGUCAGGCUGGGUCUUUACCCUAAACGGAGGAGAAAUUUCUUGGAAGAGUUCCAAGCAAGAGACAGUGGCUGAUUCAACUUGUGAAUCAGAGUAUAUUGCAGCUAGCGAGGCAGCAAAGGAGGUGAUAUGGCUGAAGAACUUCAUUGGAGACCUUGGAGUUGUACCAGCUAUUAAAGAGCCAAUGGAAAUUUUCUGUGAUAGUGAAAGCAUUGUCGCCUUACCCAAGGAACCAAGGGAUCAUGGGAGUGUUGGAUAUAGUGUCUAAGUCCAUAACUAUAUUUGGUAUAUACUUGACCGGACCCGGCAUGGUCCAUUUGGGUUGCACUUCACCCGAACAAUUUAUGGAUAAUAUUUGAGAAUAGUACAAGUUAUGAUUUAUUAAUAUAUUAUAAGUUCUAAUAUAUUAAUAUAAGAUCAUAUUAUUUAAUUAGUAGUGAUCUAUAAUUAAUCUAGGAUUAAUUUAGUGAUCAAAGAUAUUACUAAUUAAAUAUGGGCUUCUAUAUUUAUAUAGUGUGGGCUUAUGCUUAUUUGGAAUGGGCUAGGCUUGGAUGGAGAAGUCCAUGGAUACUCCAUGGAGCUUUAACCCAUGGAUCUCAUGGAAAUGAAGAGAAAUGGGUAUUAGGGUUUACAUGGAUGUAACCCUAAUCCACCACACUAUAUAAAGGAGGCUUUGGCUCUUGAAAUCAAACUAGUUGACACAUGUUGAGGUGAGGGCCGAUUUCAAGAGAAGUGUGACUAUUCUCUCAAAGUUCCAAGUUUGUGGUGAUUUGUGACUUUCAUUUGAGGCAUCCACAUUAUUGGUGCUAGGCUCUAAAACUCCAAGGAAUCAACUACAACUACAAGGUAAGUGUUUCUACUAGCUUUAUUUGAUUCAAGUUCCCCAUGCCAUGCUAGUUAGGAUAUAAGCCUUGGAAAAAUAAUUAUUUGCAUGUAUCUUAGACAAACAUAGAUCCAAGGUUUAUUAGGGUUGCAUGUACACUUAGGAAGUGUUAGAAUGCUCAAAACCCAUCAGUGGUAUCAGAGCCUAGGCUUGUUUGUUUGAUACUUGUUGCAAUAUGCUUGAAAAAGUCGAAAUCUUGCUGUCUGACUGAUGGACUCGCCGAGUCCAUGGGGGGACUCGCCGAGUCCACUUGUAUCUUCAACCUACUCGCCGAGUAGGUUCAUGCACUCGACGAGUAGGGUCGACAGAGUGCAGUUUUUCGACUUUAGUUGCUGGAAAUGGAUUAGAAACAUUACCCUAAACUGUUUUGGUACUUGAAAACUUGUUUUAGAAGGUGUAAUGUCUUUUCUAACUCAUUUACAACAACUAGUUAUCAAAAUUACAAAGAUUAAGUGUGAUUUUGAUAUAUGAAAGUGUUCAUGUUCAUGAUCUUGUUCUUAUGAUGUUUAGAUGAUCAUAGGAAUUAUUUGUAACCUAUGUGGUAGAUUAAUUCUUGAUCAUAAUGUUAUUUAAUGGAGUCCAUAACUUGUCCUCAAGUUAUGGAAAACCAAAAGUCUCUUGGAUUGAAAACCAUUAAAAGAACACAAGAGUUAGAAAAGUGAAGAGUCUUCAUUUUAUUACUCUAUUAAACUCAUAAGUUACAAGAUAUGAAAAGUUUUGAAAGUUUACAAAACUUGCCCUCAAGUUUUGGAACAAGUAAAGUCAAGUUAAAACUUUAGUUCCAACCCUUAGAAUUUUAAAAGUUAAAAUUCAACCCUUAUACUUAUAUUAUUAUGAUUUAAUAAUUAUAUAUAUAUAUAUAAGAACAAAGUCGUCUUACCGCUAGUACGCCUCAUUCACGAAGCCGGUCUAUAAGGUGGGUAUAAGGUUGUUGCCUAUAAAAUGGUGACUUAAUGGGUGUCCACUCUCACCCACCGCUUGCUUGACCGGUGGAGGGUCGUUAGCCGAACGGGUAAGACAAGGACUUAUAAAUUCUCAUUCAAAGUAUGAUGAAUAUUAUAAAGUAACUAAAUGUUUUAUUAAAUUCCCAAUCUUAGUUACUUUAGGAAAAAUGUGAAUAAGGUGCUAUUCCAUGAAAUUACACUUUACACUUUGAUUAAGUCGUUGGUGGAGCGUGUGUGGUUAACCGGCACACUAACUUGGACUUAACAAGGUAGGUAAAGGGUGACUUAGGGUUUAUUAUAGUAUCGAUGGAGCGUGUGUGGUUAACCGGCACAUCGAUUGAGUGAUAAACUUUAAGGGUACCAAGUGAUUUGCAUGGUUACUUCACACCUCGUUUUGUGAUCCUCGGUAUCCCAGUCACAAAACUUGGAGGGCACACUCGAGAUUGAAACAUGCCUUUGAAAAGUUCAUUGAAUCUCAAAGAAUCUAGGAAUUUCUAAGAACCAUUCAAAAACCUAAUACUAAAAUAUUGCGGUUUUCGUGGUGGAAAUUGGUGAAUCGUCAUUCACCUACCUUUCAAAUAUGAUAUAGCUUAGAUUACGGCAUACCUCUUCUAAGUUAUAUUAUAUUGUGAUUGGAUCCUAGCCUUAAUAUUACAUUUGGGUGUUUUAUUAAGGACUCUCUUAUAUCUAAACUAAUCUUGUCCUCUUUCCUUCAGAUGUCUUUCAACAAUGCUUCUGGCUCUAAUCCUAAUGGCUCCUUUACCCUUAUGAACUUGUGUGGGAAAGUCACCUUUGAUGGAUCCAACUUCAAUGAGUGGAUCAGAAACAUCAGGAUGAUUACCCGCUACGAGGACAAAGAAUAUGUCCUUGACAAGGAGCUUAAGGAGAUUGAUGAGUCCACUGCAACUCCUCAGGAGAUCGCUGAAUUUCGGGCACAUGAAAGGGAUGCUACGAAAGUGGCUUGCAUCAUGAUGGCCACGAUGACAGCGGAACUCCAAAAGUCUUAUGAGGAUUUCUACCCUUAUGAAAUGCACCAAGAUUUGAUGGAAAGAUACCAUCAAAGUGCAAGACAAGAGAGGUAUGAAAUCAUCUGCUCCAUGAUAACAACCAUGAUGAAGGACGGGGAAUCCGUCACGAGCCACAUGCAGAAAAUGCAAAGGUAUGUGGAUCGUUUGCUGAAGCUUAAUGUGAACUUCCCGGAGGAUCUUGCAAUAGAUAUUAUUUUGCAUUCCUUACCAUCGUGCUAUGAUCAAUUCCGCAUGACAUAUCACAUGAACAAGGAAGAAGUCACCCUCAGCAAACUUCAGGGACUUCUCAAGACCGCAGAAUCAGGUCUUAAGGGGAAGUCGGUUGCUAUCACUCCUACUCAAAACUCUACUCCGGUUUUGGCAAUCGGGAAAAGUCGAGGGAGGAAGAGAAAGAGCUCUUCUAAGGGUACCAAGGUUCGGACCCUUGAUGGCUCUUCUUCAAGUGGAACCAAGAAAGGUUUCAUUACUCCUUCUUCUGACCCAAAAGAGGCUGAAUGCUUCUAUUGCCAUGAAAAAGCUCAUUGGAAGCGGAACUGCCCAAAAUACCAGCAAGAUGUGAAGGAUGGGAAAGUUAAACCCAACCAUGCAGGUAUUUACACUAUCAUUUCUAAUAACUCACCCCAUUCUAAUUCUUGGGUCCUUGAUACCGGGUGUGGUAUUCACAUUUGUUGUGACUUGCAGGGACUAAGAAGAAGUGAGGAUGUGGAGCAAGGAAGGAUAAACUUGAUCAUGGGGAAUAGGAAAGCUAUACCUGUUACCAAGAUUGGAGUUUAUACUUUAUCGCUAAGUAGUGGGUUUAGUUUAGAUUUGAAUAAGUGUUGUUAUUCGCCAGGAAUGGCAAGAAAUAUUAUUUCCUUUCAUGCUUUGUACAAACAAGGGUUUACCUUUUCAUUUAAUAAUGAAGUUGGUUCUAUAGAUGUUUUCUAUAAUAAUGUCUUUUAUUUUAAAGCAUUACCUUGUGAUGGUGUGUAUGAAGCUGUAUCUGUUGUAGAUAACUUGGGAAAUAAUGUUUUGUGUAUUGAUUCUACUAAUAAUAACUUGGAUAAAGCAUCUUUAUGGCAUUGUCGUCUUGGACAUAUAAGCAAGAAACGCAUAGGCCAACUCCAAAAGGAUGGAGUCUUGGAGUCGUUUGACCUAAAGUCAGAUGAUAGUUGCGAAUCAUGCUUACUUGGAAAAAUGACAAAGUCACCCUUCACAGGUUCGUGUGAGAGGGGUGAAGGUUUGUUGGACCUUAUACACACGGAUGUGUGUGGACCAUUCAAACAUGCCACAAGGGAUGCUAAUCGUUAUUAUUUGACUUUUACUGAUGAUUAUAGUAGAUAUGGAUAUGUCUACUUGAUCAAGCAUAAGUCAGAGACUUUCGAGAGGUUUAAGGAAUUUAAACAGGAAGUCGAGAAUCAAUUGGGCAGGAACAUUAAGAUGCUUCGAUCCGAUCGUGGUGGUGAGUAUCUUAGUUCAGAGUUCCUCGACUAUCUAAGGGAAUGUGGGAUAGUCUCACAAUUGACACCUCCCAGGACACCACAGUUGAAUGGUGUGGCUGAGAGGCGUAAUCGAACCUUGUUAGAUAUGGUUCGUUCCAUGAUGAGUCGAGCUACGCUACCAAUCUCAUUCUGGGGGUAUGCCUUAGAGACUGCCGCCCAUAUUCUUAAUCUAGUCCCUACAAAGAAAGUUGCCAAAACUCCUCACGAGAUGUGGACUGGUAAAGUACCUAAACUAGACCACAUCAAGAUUUGGGGUUGCGAGGCUUUCGUGAGACGCGAGACUCAUGAUAAGCUCGAACCUCGAAGCGAGAGGUGUAUUUUCAUCGGUUACCCACAGCGAUCCUUUGGUUACCUCUUCUACAGACCUAGUGACAAUGUGGUCUUUGUAGCAAGAAGAGGAGUCUUUCGAGAAAGAGAGUUUAUAAGCCAAGGAGACAGUGGGAGGCAAAUUGAUCUUGAAGAAAUUCAAGAAUCAAGCGGUGAAGGAACUUCAAACUCUAGCCCUCAACUUGAGGAGGAAACUCCUGUUGAGCCAAUUGACAAAUCUGUACCUCUGAGACGUUCCACGAGAGUUAGGAGUGCACCUGAGCAUUACUAUGGAUUCCAUAUUACUGCAGAAGGUGAGACACUUAUUAGUGAUGAGACACUAGUAAGUCAAGAUGACCCUAACAGCUACGAGGAAGCCAUGGCAGGCCCCGAGUCUGCUAAAUGGAAAGAGGCUAUGGAUAGCGAGAUACAAUCCAUGUAUGACAAUCAAGUUUGGAACUUGGUUGAAAAUGUACCAGGUCGUAAGACAGUAGGGUGCAAAUGGGUCUUCAAGAAGAAGACCGACAUGGAUGGUAAAGUACACACUUAUAAGGCUAGACUGGUUGCAAAGGGCUUCUCUCAAAUUCCUGGAGUGGAUUAUGAUGAGACCUUUUCUCCGGUAGCCAAGAUUAAGUCUAUUCGGGUUCUGUUAGCCAUAGCUGCAUUUCAUGACUAUGAAAUAUGGCAGAUGGAUGUCAAAACCGCUUUCCUUAAUGGAAAGUUGGCUGAAGAUGUUUACAUGAGUCAGCCAGAGGGUUUUGUCAGCAACGAGUACCCUAAUAGAGUGUGUAAGCUUGAGAAAUCCAUUUAUGGAUUGAAGCAAGCACCUCGCAGAUGGAAUCUUUGCUUUGAUGAAAAGGUCAAGGAAUUUGGCUUUUCUAGGAGUGAAGAUGAAUCUUGUGUGUAUGUCAAGGCUAGUGGGAGUAUAGUUAGCUUUUUGGUAUUGUAUGUGGAUGACAUACUACUCAUAGGAAACGACAUUCCAACCCUGCAGGAAGUAAAGUCCUGGCUUGGGAAGUGUUUCGCUAUGAAGGACCUUGGUGAAGCUGCCUAUAUUCUAGGGAUAAGAAUCUUGAGAGAUCGGAGUAAAAGACUAAUUGGACUUAGUCAGAGUACCUACUUGGAUAAGGUGCUGAAGAGAUUCAGCAUGCAGGAUUCCAAGAAAGGAGAGUUACCCAUCCAGAGUAACACCAGAUUGAGUAAGACACAAAGCCCUAGCACUGAGGCUGAGAUAGC
rnacentral:lncRNA from 1 species